rnacentral:rRNA from 1 species
UCUUGCAUUGGAUUGAGAACAACGUAAAACUCUUAUCGAUAAGCCAUUGGAGGGCAAGUCUGGUGCCAGCAGCCGCGGUAAUUCCAGCUCCAAUAGCGUAUAUUAACGUUGUUGCAGUUAAAAAGCUCGUAGUUGAAGUGAGGGAGUGUGUGUUGUGAUCGAAUCGAUCGAGAGCAGCACAAGCUCCCCCUUCCAAUGGGUGUAUUGGGGUAUUCAUUUACUUCAUUACUCCUUUGGUCGUUUACUGUGAGAAAAUUAGAGUGUUCAAAGCGGGCGUUUGUUUGAAUAGAUUAGCAUGGAAUAAUGAUUGAAGGCUUUCGUGUUCGAUUUGAUUGGUUUGUUCAUGGAAGCAAGGUUAAAAGGAACAGUUGGGGGUAUUCAUAUUCACUAGUUAGAGGUGAAAUUCUCGGAUUUAUGGAAGAUGAACA